rnacentral:rRNA from 1 species
GAUGAACGCUGGCGGCGUGCCUAAUACAUGCAAGUCGAACGCUGAAGGAGGAGCUUGCUCUUCUGGAUGAGUUGCGAACGGGUGAGUAACGCGUAGGUAACCUGCCUGGUAGCGGGGGAUAACUAUUGGAAACGAUAGCUAAUACCGCAUGACAACAGUUAUUGCAUGAUAACUGUUUAAAAGGGGCAACUGCUCCACUACCAGAUGGACCUGCGUUGUAUUAGCUAGUUGGUGAGGUAACGGCUCACCAAGGCGACGAUACAUAGCCGACCUGAGAGGGUGAUCGGCCACACUGGGACUGAGACACGGCCCAGACUCCUACGGGAGGCAGCAGUAGGGAAUCUUCGGCAAUGGACGGAAGUCUGACCGAGCAACGCCGCGUGAGUGAAGAAGGUUUUCGGAUCGUAAAGCUCUGUUGUAAGAGAAGAACGAGUGUGAGAGUGGAAAGUUCACACUGUGACGGUAUCUUACCAGAAAGGGACGGCUAACUACGUG